CCGUGCGCCUACAGCCGCCUCCGACGGGCGGGAAGCACGCGCUGGAUUCUGUGGCUGAUUUUCAAACUUUAACCGUCUCCUGAGGAAUUAGCCCCAGCCUCAGCUGCCACCGAAGACCGGGUCGGACACUGAGCGUGUGUAAGCGGAGGAUUUGACCGCACGACGGAGGAAAUGUGAGCGACAAUGUGACGUUUGGGAGCCUCGACGAGGAUUAUCGCCGUCUCCAGCCGUGGGCUGAUUUUCCCUCAAAAGAUAAGCGACUUUCGGCAUGCAGAGCCUGCUGCGGAUCUGCGAGCCUCCACUAACGUGAAGCAAGAGCGUAGCUUGUUAAAAGUGCAGCUUUAGCCAUCGCUACAAGAUUGCUAGUUUUCUCUGAAAGUGCAUUUCCUCCCUAAAAAUGUUCUCGGAGCACGUCGUCGGAAUAUCAGAGUCAGCGGUGUGAUUUAUAAUUGAUAACGGAGGACGGAGCUGCCGGACACCGCCCGGACCGGGAUUUCAUCCUCUUUGGGGAAAAGAAAAGGACUGGCAGCUUCCAGCUGGGCGUGCAGACGGACGGAAACGACGCUCAUCACCUGGAAUGUUUGGAAAGUGAAAUUGUUUUAGGUUAUCUGUUUAAAAGGGGCCCUUACUGGAGGGAUACCUGCAUGAUUCUGGGAGCAGUCCAGCCAUUCAGAGCCCCUAAAGCGGAUGCGUGGAUAAGUGAAGCUCCUAUUUUUGUACUCAAGGACACCUUCAGUGUCGGUGGGUGUAGUUUCUUGCAGCCUGGCAGUAUUUGGGUUUUGAAGCACAAGCCGGAGCAGGAUUUCUACGGGGACUUCAGAUUAUCGGAAUUAAAGCUCUUUAGCCCCCCAGCACCACUUUUCUCUGAGCCUUGGUCUCCAGCAUCGAUGCGGAUAGCUCUUCCGUGCCCGUUACUUUAAAUACGCUAUUGGAGUAACGUUACUUGAGCUUUUUGAGGCGAAUAGGAGUUUUAUCAACAGCCGUGUGACCUCCUCCCCUCUGCCACCCACCCAUCCUGCUCUUUCCAGGAUCUACGUGUACAGGAGUGUUUCUCGUGGCUGUGCACGGCAAGCCCACCGGCACCUGGAUCCCUGCUUCGCCCCGUUUUUUUCUUUUCUGCUGCCUAACCGCGCGAGCGUCUGUUCCGCUGCCCGAGCUCACUCACACACUCUCUCACACACACACACCGCUUUUUUUUCAGCACCAGAAAACAAACAAACAAACAAACAAAGAAAACUACCAAGAUAGCUCCUCUCGCUUCGUGUGCAAGGGAAGGAGUCGCGCAAGAGUGGAGACCGUGAGUUUGGAUAAGGUGCUGAGCCCGAUCGGCUUUAAAGCAUUUUAUUGAGAGGGGAGUCCUCACUGUGUUUUCCAUUAGUGGACUGAUCGGGGGAGAAAGACGAGAGGAUUUUUGUGGAGGGGGUAGAAAAGAGACACAUCAGGAGGAGAGGAGUUGGUGAUCGAUGAAGACUCCAACUCCACCAUCUUUGGCUGCAGAUGGUAGUCCUCGUUCUGCUCCGCAGCUCCGACAAGCUCGGCAUAGAGCAGAAGAAGGACUUCUGUCGCCAGUUUCAGUCCAAAACAGUGAAGCAACUGAAUGAUGUCGAGGAGGAGCGCAACAGUGACCUGGGCAGCCUGUUGGAAGGGAAACAAAACACAGGAAAGGCUGAGGCUAGCUGGUUAACCUUCAAAAUAAAAGCAUGGGGAUUGUGGCUGAAAGAAAGGUGUCAGAAAGGUCUGACAUUGGAACCAGAUGACAGAAAGGUCAGUUUGAAAACUUUUUUUUCAAUCGCAACUUAUUUUUUGUCACCAGCACAGGAAGGAGACUCUCCCUCCUUUGACCUUGUGCCUGUGGACAGACCCUGGCUUCGUUCAAAUAAAUAAAAACAAAACACAUGAAAAGUAUGGACCAGCAAAUUGGAGCUAAACUGGAGAAGGAAGGGCAUGUCAGCAGUUACUGAGGAGUGGUCGUGGAAAAGGUCAUCCAUGCUUUUGGACUAAAGUCCGUCUCUGAAGCUCCGCCGCCAGACUUUCACCAGGUUCAGAGAGCAGACCACAUCCAUCCUUGCUGGACUUCACUGGCACCCUGUUAUUCACAUUCAUUACCUGCCUGCCUGUUUUUAUUUCCCCCUCUGUUAUUUCUGUGCUAUACAAAAAAAUCUAUCUUAUGAAAAUUUCUCUGUUUUCUAUUGCAAAAUAAAAAUGAUCGAGGCC
ensembl:lncRNA